rnacentral:rRNA from 1 species
GAUGAACGCUAGCUACAGGCUUAACACAUGCAAGUCGAGGGACCGGCGCACGGGUGAGUACCCGUAAUCAACCUGCCCUUUACUCGGGGAUAGCCUUUCGAAAGGAAGAUUAAUACCCGAUUGAAAAGAUGGGGAUGCGUUCCAUUAGGUUUUUGGUGAGGUAACGGCUAACCAAGCCUUCGAUGGAUAGGGGUUCUGAGAGGAAGGUCCCCCACAUUGGAACUGAGACACGGUCCAAACUCCUACGGGAGGCAGCAGUGAGGAAUAUUGGUCAAUGGGCGUUAGCCUGAACCAGCCAAGUAGCGUGAAGGAUGAAGGCUUAUGGGUCGUAAACUUCUUUUAUAUAAGAAUAUGUAUUAUAUGAAUAAGGAUCGGCUAACUCCGUGCCAGCAGCCGCGGUAAUUC